rnacentral:tRNA from 1 species
GGGCACGUGGUGUAGUUGGUUAUCACGCUCGCUUAGCACUUCUGACGAGAACUUGCGAGAGGGGUCCGGUUCAAUCCCGGACGUGUCCA